rnacentral:rRNA from 1 species
GACGAACGCUGGCGGCGUGCUUAACACAUGCAAGUCGAACGGAAAGGCCUGUCCUUCCUUGUGUUGGACGGGUACUCGAGUGGCGAACGGGUGAGUAACACGUGAGUGAUCUGUCCCCAACUUGGGUAUAAGCCUGGGAAACUGGGUCUAAUUCCCGAUAGGACUGCAGGGUGGUGCCUGUGGUGGAAAACGAUUUUCUAGUGGUUGGGGAUGAGCUCGCGGCCUAUCAGCUUGUUGGUGGGGUAAUGGCCUACCAAGGCGGCGACGGGUAGCCGGCCUGAGAGGGUGGACGGCCACAUUGGGACUGAGAUACGGCCCAGACUCCUACGGGAGGCAGCAGUGGGGAAUAUUGCACAAUGGGCGGAAGCCUGAUGCAGCGACGCCGCGUGGGGGAUGACGGCCUUCGGGUUGUAAACUCCUUUCGACCGCGAGGAAGCCGCCUGGUUGGAAGGGUGGUGACGGUAGUGGUAGAAGAAGCACCGGCUAACUACGUG